ACUACCAGCCCAGGGAUGGCACCAUGCACAAUGGGUCCUCUCACCCUUGGUCACUAAUUGAGAAAAUGCCUUACAGCUGGAUCUCAUGGAGGCAUUUUCUCAAGGGAGGCUCCUUUCUUUGUGAUGACUCCAGCUUGUGUCAGGUUAACACACAAAACCCGCACACUGCCGCAAUCUCUGUGAAUCUAUAUGUGCCACUGCCCUGUUGAGGACACUCACUCUAUCCAUCCAUUGAUAAUGAGUUUCACAGUCAUUCUGCUCCUUCUCCUACAGUGAUUUUAAGUGUGUAUCUUUUAAUUAAAACAUCCCCAUUAUAUCUGAAUUAGUUGAUUGUCUUAUGUACAACUGACCCAUUGGGCCCUUUCUAUGAAAUAAGACAGUGAUCAAAGAAAUAUCCAGGCUUAGUGUGGACUCUUACAAGGAGGGAGGGGGAAAAUGUCUUGACUUGGAACUCAGGCUUCUUUGAGAUGAAAUCACUGGACUCUUCUCCUGGGCUUAGAACCUGUAAGUAAAGGUUGGCGUGGCUGAGGGCAUGGAAGGACAUGGUAUACUGGAUCUUUGUAGAGUCAGGAUGGUGAUUUCAGCCCUCUGCUUCCUCAAGUAUAUACUUUAGAAAUCUUCAAUGCUUCAGAUGCACUUUUCUCUGAGACAGUGUGCCAUCAUAAAUGACAGAGUUGAUGUUGGUGGCUUUCAGCUAGGUUCUUAAAUGUCAUCAGCGUGUGAUUUGAACCUAGUCCCUGAGAGCUUGUGAGCUUCCUCUUGCAGCUGGAAUAUAACCUAGGAAACUCCAAAUCCCUUCACUCAGAAUCUGGUUAAGUUGUUGACAUCCCUUGAUUGAAGCUAACACAACCGGGCACUCUACGAUUAUCUUCCCACAAAGGUGAGGAGACUAAUGCUUUCUGUUCACCAGAUAAUGAAUGCCUUGCAGUGGUGGUGGGUGGCAAGAGCUCAGAAUAUUUAUGAAACUUCUUGAUUGACUUUAUUCUCAAGUGACAAUUCCAGCUUUGCAUAAGACAGCCAGAUAACUAUUUAAGGUAACACCUUAUUUUUGGAAAUGUUAUUUUUUCUACCUAAAAGGGUAAGAGACUUUACUGGCAGUUUCAAUUUUUCCUUCCAUUCCUAGAGAACUUUGUCAACACGAGGAUGACUUGACAGAGGAAACUUUCAAUGAGGACUGCAGAGUGCCACUGGAUUUCAGAGCUGCAUGAGAUCUUGGAGUAACCUCUUCUCACUACUGUGAUUGAACCCAAGGUGAAGUGCAGACAGGAGACAGGAAUAACUGGAGAAUGUCUCAGGAAUAUAGCAUCCUGGGAAGAGGAGGGGCUGGCCAGCAGGCUGGUAUGUAUUCUAAUGUUUUCUAGAGACAGGAUGCUAUAGAUGCUUUAGUUUUGUGGUCAUAUUAUAUGGGACAUAAAAUCUUGAGGGAAUGGCUUUAUAGAAACAGUAGGACAUAUGCAGAGUAAAAUCACUCACUCUGGACAACUCUUUUGAACCUUGGGGCUUGGCUGUUCCUGAUUGUUGCCUGUCUGUAAACAAAAUGACCCUGGUUUGUGACACUGGGGCAUGGGGAGAGGGGGCAUUCUCUCUCACUAGACUUAGGCACAGGGUAGCUAGGAGACAUCCAGUUUGCCUCAUACUUACUGUUUUCUUCUGCUUCUUCCUUCAGGGUUUUUCAGUGUGUAUUAAAUCCAGGCCUUAUUAAACAGGGUCUAAAGAUUUCUAAGGAACAGAGAAAGCUGCUCCUGGUGUCAGCAGGAGUCUUGGAGUAACCUCUUCUCACUACUGUGAUUGAACUGUGUCUCAUGGCUUGUGAAACGCUCAUGGAGGUUUUUACAGAUCUCUUACUGAAUCUGAGACUCACCAGUUUGUUAGACUGUCUGGCCAAUGACCUCCAGGGAGCUGCUGGUCUCUAUCUCCUCUCAUCAUCCUUCAGUACUGCCAUUGCAGGUGCAAGCCACCACACCUGGUUUCAGGUAGAUUCUGGGUACCUGAGCUCUGGUGAGGCCCUUCUGAGCUGUACAAGUUAAACGUUUACAACCCUAAGUCUCUAUCUCUCUCUCUUUCUUUUUUUAUUGUCAAGAGACCCAUGAAAGGGAGGUCUUGUACAGAGGGUUAUUUAUCCUCAAAUAUAAGCUGGGUUUCAGCAGUCUUGUCUGGCAACAUCUCAGACAGCAGACGGAAGGUUGGCCCCAGAGACUCGGCACUAUGCUGCUAAGAGCCAUAGUAGAGUUUGGUCAUUUCUCAGUGCUGGGAGUUCUGUAAUUCUCGAAACAAGAGCAUUCUAAAUAAGAUCACAGCGUGUAUCACCAACAUUGAAACAAAGCUAGAGUAUUCUGAACACACACAGUUUAAUUAUCACAUUUCUUCUAACGGAUUUUUAAAUCAUUACAGUUCUGCCUCACCCACCGGUGUUUAGUAAGUGGAAAGGAAGGUCACCGUAUCUGAGUGAGGUGGGGAGUCUUCUCACCCGUGGAGACAGGCUCAUGUUUGUCUUCGUCCCUAGUGAUUGAGAAGCACAGAUCAUUCAGGAGGGGAGCUUGUAUUGGCUGUAGUAUGUACUCUGAGACGCUAAAAGUGGGAGAGAAAAAAAUGCAACUGUCUAGACAGGAAGUGAGCCAUCUCUUCCUGUAAUAGUUUGUCUAGUACACAGAGUGAGGAUUACUUCUGUCACCUACUUUAUUUUUUCAUGUAUGUUUAUGUGUGUGGUGCUUGCAUAUGAGUGUAGGAGUUUACCUGUCACAUUAUGUGAAGGCCAGAGCAGGAUGCCCUGUGUUCUUUUCUAUUGUUUUCUGUCUGAUGGCCCCAAGAAAGGGUCUCUCAUGAGCCAGAAAGUUACUAUUUUGGCUAGGCUGGUUGACCAGCAAGCUCCUGGGACUUGUUGUUCCCUACCUCUUCCCCACUGGAGUUACAGCCAUGCACAGCCAUGGAAGCUUCUCACAUGGGUACUGGGGAUUUGAACUUAGAUCUUCAUGCUUGUACUUCAUGCAUCAACUAUUCUUAACCACUGAGCCACCUCCCCAGCUCCUUGAACAUUUUCCUGAUUACACUCUCAGUGCUGUGCAAGUAUCCUGCUUAUCCACUCACAACUUUAUGUAAAUUAAAGAAAAUAUGUUGCAUAUUCAAAGUGAUAUAUCCUGCUGACAGUGGAUUAAUAAUGCCUAAUAAUUUUCUAAGAGAAAUUUUAUAUAGUUGCAUUGUAUAUCAUAUGUGCAUUAUAAAUAAUGUACUAAUACAGACUCAGCCUUCUCAUAAAUUUGGCAUUAAUACAUUUCUCUGCUUCUGUGACUAGCAGUUAGAACACAAGAAUGUGGUUAGAAGAAUGAGAAAGGAGCAUAUAAAUACCAAUAAAAAUAAUUAUCUAUAAUUAUCUGUUGGCAUGUUAAUG
rnacentral:sRNA from 1 species